GUGACGGUAGGGGAGAAGGAGCAGAGGAAGUCGCUGGCGGCUGCUCUAUCUGACAUCUUGUGGACAGCUGGUGAGGAGCAGAUUGCUACCGUCUGCUUGGUCACGUCAGAGUGCUGUUUCACCCCCCACAUGGACUACAAACUGGACAACUUCACAGAGAGGUUGCAGAUUUUCCCCUUUAAAAAGAAAGAAGAUGUUAGGUCAUUUGUAUGGGAGCACAUCCAAUGUUUUAAGGAAGAAGGAAGCCAUGGAAUCAUACUUUUUUUGUACAGCCUUAUCUUCUCCAGGACUAUUGACAGG